AUCUGGUUUAGAAGCAUGUUUCUGUGAGUAGCCUUUAUAAUUUGAGUAGGCUACCUUUAUCACAGUCAAAGUAAUCUGAUUGGGUUUGUUAUAGGUAGUGAUAUAUGAGUCGUGUAUAAGGAUUGUGGAAAUCUGAGAUAAAUCCAACAUACUUCAGAGAUGGUAUGCAGAUGGUUAUACUAUAGUUAUGUCUGGCAGUCUAGAAACAGAUAUUAUCAACCGGAGACAGAACCAGACACCGUCUGCGUGCCUUUGUGUCCGAACAAUGCUCAGUGGGCUGUAGAACAAUACGGGGCUCUGGUGGGUCUAUGGAGGAACAACUUACUUUUCGAUAUAAUAUAAAUAUUAUAAGCACAUAUAUAACAAUUAUUAUUAGAUUAUUAGAGUAUUUCAGCUCUUCUUCUUCAAACAAAGGUUAGGCUAUUCAUCCAUGCCCUGCAGAUUCCCGAAAUGUGAUUCGAAGAGCAGAUCAGAGAUAAGAAAAAAUAUAUAAAUAUCUUUUUUUAAAGUAGAGGUACCCCGACGGAUGGGGACCGAGUUCAUAGGCGCAGAGGAACAACAUGAAUCUUCUUCUUCUUUUGGCCCCUUCGCGCACGCACGCACGUGCACACGCACUCAAAAACACACGCAAACACCCACAAGCGCACACACGCACAGAGAAGCACGCGCGGGCCUAUUUCGACCGCUCUCUCGUGGCUCCCUUCCAGUAUCCAGGCCUGGUUUCGUUCAUUACCAAAAAGAGAGUCUUCAGAAAUCAACACCACUAGUCUCUGCGGGUUGAAGCAACUUUUUUUUUUUUUCAAAAAAGAAGAAAAACUACAGAAGUGAAGGAUCGUCUCGGGACCACGCAAAAGAUGCCAUCUGGGAUUCGCAAAACAAUUCUGGUGGAUCUCUGACAGAACCCGUUCUCGACCCGACUCUGGCGAAGGAGAAACAGCCGUCGAAUCACAAGUUUGCACCUGAAGACUUUUCUCCCGCGUUUUUUUGCAGCGGUAUCAUUGUUAUCUUCAAUGCGUGAUUAAGGAACAACGAAGCAGGCUCCCCGCGCCCAGUCUCCACCUUCUUUAAUAGGUCCAUGGUCUCCACGUCUGUGUGUUAAUGUGUGUGUGUGUGUGUGUGUGUGUGUGUGUAAGUGAAAGUGACCGUGCCCUCGGGGGAAUAUGUGUGUGAUUGCAGAGAACGGAUUGCUCUCUCUUUUCUGACCCUGCACGCAUCCAGAUGUUACGUGUUUCGCAGGCGCGCUGCAUGUCAGACUGAAAAGUAUUCGAGAAACUCCUUGGAAGUGAUUGUCUUUAUUAUUUUUUAUAUAUAUAUACUUAGGUCCGUUAGUCCUUGAUGAAUAGGCCCCAAUAGAAGCCAAAAAAACGUCUGAACCUGACAAAAUGCCAAGGAUGUCCUGGAGUAUUGCUGAUUUACUUAACUUGUAAUCUACGGGGAUUCUGUCCAGUUAUUAGGUUCAAAUAAUGGAGACUGGCAAAUUGAGGACCCUUCUGUUCCUGGAGAUAAAUGUGUUUAUACUUUCGACUUUUCCGCUUUGUUUGCAAGGCCAGAGCACCGAGCAUGUGAUCGAUCUACUCGCUGCGUUGAACCUGUCCCAGCCCGUAAAAGGCAUAUCCAAGAUCCACGACGAAGAUCCUUCUGGGUCCACUACGGCCUAUAAGCUCCGCCCCAAAGCCCCCCACCUGACCCUGCCGCCCGAGUACUCCCGCCUCCUGGCCUCGGGCGGGGCCGGCUCCCUGGGGGUGCACCUGGUGGCGCGCCAGGUCCACGACACCAGCGCCACCCUGCUGUCCUUCUCCUCCCGCUCCUCCCCGCUGCUCCAGCUGGUCUCCUCCACCCGGAACAGCAGCCUGCGCUUGGACCGCGGCGUGGAGGGGCCCGGUGCCGGGGGGCUGCUCAGCCUGGUCCUCCCAGGAGGGAACCCCUUCUCCGGGGCCCGCUGGGCGCGCCUCGCCCUGGGCCUGGAGCCGGACAGAGUGAGUCUGUUUGUAGACUGUGAGGAGGCGGUCGUCGUCCGACGCCGAGGGGAGGAGAGGGUCGAUCUGAGGGCGUUUCCCCGGGACCUGAGGGUGACUCUGGGCAGCGCGAUGGGGGACAGCGACAGCAAGUUCAGCGGAUACUUGAAGACAGCUGAGAUCUCCCUAAAAGCAUAUGGAAGGCGUCCCUGGCAUUGUCCCAAUAUAACAGAUGGACCUCCUUCCCCGGCUCAGCCCACACCCGGCCCCGGUCUGGACCCUCUGGACGACCAGGGGCCGCAGCGGCUCCAGAAGGACGCGCCCCAGAGAGGGGCGUCCCUGGGGCCUCCGGGGCACCCCCAGGGGGGGAGGCUGGCCUCGCCCCCGCCCCUGGAGGAGAGGCUGAGGGGGCUGGUGCAGAGGCUGGAGCAGAUGGCCGUCCUGCUGGACGCGGUCAAAGCCCAGAACACAGACCUCCAGUCGCGCGUGCACUACCUGGAGGGCUGUGAAUGUGUGAGGCGGCGGAAGUGCACGUGGGAGGGGCGAGAGGUGGAGGAGGGGCAUCGCUGGCAGACCCUCUCGAACACCUGCACCUGCACCUCGGGACGGGUCGCGUGCGAGGCCAUCGUCGUGGCUAGUUUUCAGAUGGCUGCCCUCUCCCUCGACCCCUGCAUGUCUAGCCCUUGCCAAAACGGAGGCCUAUGUCUCUCCUUGACCUCUAACCUUUCCAAUGAAUUCCGCUGCUCCUGCCCUCCGAACACCAAGGGCCCAGUGUGCCAGAGGCAGCAGAGAGAGGUACAGCCCGAGCUACAGCCGACCACUGUGUUCACUAGAGGAGUUAGGCUCCAUCUAUCAGAGGAAAUGUUGCUAUGGUUCCCUGAUAAACGGUAUAAAGGUUAUUUAGGUAUUUGCAUUUUUUUUUUUUUUUAUUCCUGUCAUUUUCGGAAGUGGCACAAAUUUGUUAUUUCCUGGUAACAUGUUUGGAAUGACAAACAUGCCAAUUGUAUGUUUCAUCACCUGACAGGUCUCCAAAACCUUUGAAAUGCUGGAGGUGGGUCUCAAUCAUAAGUGAAACUAGCCGGUUCCACUUAUGAAGCUUCAUGUUGUUGCUUAUUAGUCUCCUUGUAGCCUAUAGUUAUUUAGUGCUUGCCUUGUGUUUCUCUUAGUAGAUGCUCAAUACAGGUAGGUAUUCAAUGGUAGGCCAGUGGUGUAAAUGGCAUUAGUUAUGUGUUUAGAAACCAUAGCUUUGUGUCUGCCUGUCGCAUGUCAGUUGGUUUGUCGGUCGGUUGGUUUGGGACUGACCUAAAUCAGUCUGUGUGUGCUCAUGUUGCUAGUCCAUGUUGUCCAUAAGUUAUACUGCUCGUUUAUUUGUACUGUGGCCAUAUAAGGAGUAAGGGUGGGGGCUAAGCAUGAUAGGUAAGAGGCCGUAAGAGGUUUCCUGCACUCCUCUCCAUCUCUAGGCAUGCUGGGAACCCAGGCCAGAGAAAGUCUGUGAGGGCAGACGCUCUAUUCAACACCGCUGGGCUUUUAAUCCCAUCUCGGGUCUCUGUGAAGUCUUCUUAUUCUGCUCUGGGUCCAGCCGCAACAACUUCCCCUCCCACAGCGCCUGCAGGGAGCAGUGCCUGCUGGGAGCCUGCUGCAUUCGUAAACCCAAACCCAAGCACCCCUUCACUGGCCAGGUUGACUCCUGGCGAAUCAAACACAACGUAUCCAAUGCCAUCCCGAGCACGAGUGUGGAGGGGAACUGCGACGAAGACUCCCACUUCCUGUACACCUGCAAGUACCUGUCCCGUCCCCGCUGCCGGGCCCUGGUGAAGGGGCUCCCCGGGGCGGCUGCGGUGGUGAGCUUCUCCCCCGGGGAUAAGUGUUCGGAGGUGGGCUGCGGGGACGGGUGUGCCUGCCUCUCCCCGCAGAACCAGCACCGCGGGCAGUACAGCCAGAGGCUGGCGCGAGGCUGUGUGGAGGGCGUGUGCGCGGUCGCCGGGGGGAACGGAGACUUUGUUUGUGCACACUCGACCCGGCGGAAGGAGAUCAGAGACCUGACGGUGAAAGAAGUGAAGCUUUACCAGCGGGCUGUCAGAAGACUGCAUGCUAAACCAGCGACAUGGGGGGACUUCGUCCAGCUCAGGGCCGAGUUCUCUCCCCAGGCGGGGGGUCACGCUGACUUCCUGCCCUGGCACCGCUACUUCCUGCGUCUCCUGGAGCGCGAGCUGCAGUCUCUGUCGCCGUGCCAACUCUCCGUUCCGUAUUUCGAGUGGACGGUGGACUCGGGCUCCAUGGCGUCCUCGGAGGCGUGGCAGGCCGGUCUGUUCGGGGGGGACGGGGAGCCGGGGUCCGACUGCGUCCGCCAGCACCCCUUCAGCGGCGUGUCGGGCCGCUCCCGCUGGAGCCCCUG